CAGAGGCAGAGCCACAGAGGGGCUGCUCGUCCCCAAAUGUCUCUCCAGCCGCUCUGAAGCUGCUGCAGGCUGCUGUGCUGGUCCAUGGAGAAGGUGGAACACUGGACUAAAGAGACAGGCUGAGGAAGCCCUCAAGUCACCCCUGAUGGAGGCCAGACCUUGAAUGUUACAAUCCCUCUGCUUAUCGACCCUUAAUAAAAAUCUGAGCAGGUCUUCUCUGCAGGACACAGGAGGCUUUCUGGAAAAAAAAACAUGGAAAAAAAGUCUGGAAGUGCUCGACCAAGAGAUUGCGAGAUGGAAGCAGAGAGUACAGGAAAGGAAGGAGGAGAAAGAAAGGCUGGAAACCUUUGAAUGUACAAAAAAAACAGGUCAUGAAAGAUACCACGAGCCAACUAAAAUCUCUGGCUGAAAAUGUGCUGGACACCAUGCAGUUGGAAGAUUUCACUAGGGACCGCAGUGAUGAGGGGAACUUGGAAGCAGAGCUAAAGAGGAAAGCAGAAAAUGAAGAAACCACCCCCCUUAAAAAUUAAGUAAAUUUUUUUUAAGUUAUGUGCAUACAUUCUGUAUAUACAGAAAAGAUAUCUAAAUUGUAUGCACGCAGAAGGAGCAUUGCCCCCACAAGGAACAGUUCAUCCUAAAUGGUGCAGAUGAAGAGACUUUGACAAAGGAAGUUUCCUGAGCUGUGGGCAGGGAUGAGAGCUCAGACGAAUGAUGGGAAACCUCCCAGAUGCCAAGGUUUCCCACCCCCGGGUUUCAAGGGAGGAGAGAGGAAGUGAUGUCAUCUGAGCCCAGUGAGGCCCUGUCAAGGGACUAGGGAAAACUGUCCCCACUUUUUGCUCCCAUCCUCUCAUUGACUGCAGGUGCACAGGCAGCUGCCUGAAAGAGGGCCUGCGAAGUGCAAGCCAGAGGAGUUGGCCUCCACGGCACAGAGCAGGCAGAAAACAAAUUUGGAGAAUGACCAGCACUCUUGGGUUUAUUUGACUGAAAGUGCUUGUUUU
rnacentral:lncRNA from 1 species